CAGCCGUAAACGAUGUGCGUUAGGUGUAUCGACGACCACGAGUCGUCGAGGUGCCGAAGGGAAACCGUGAAACGUACCGCCUGGGAAGUACGGUCGCAAGGCUGAAACUUAAAGGAAUUGGCGGGGGAGCACCACAACAGGUGGAGCCUGCGGUUUAAUUGGACUCAACGCCGGAAACUCACCAGGGGAGACAGCAAUAUGUAGGUCAAGCUGAAGACUUUACCUGAAUCGCUGAGAGGUGGUGCAUGGCGUCAGUGACU
rnacentral:rRNA from 1 species